CGGCAAACUCCGUGCCAGCAGCCGCGGUAAUACGGAGGGGGCUAGCGUUGUUCGGAAUUAUUGGGCGUAAAGGGCACGUAGGCUGUUUAAUAAGUUAAAAGUGAAAUACCAAGGCUUAACCUUGGUGCUGCUUUUAAUACUGUUAAACUUGAGAUCGAGAGAGGAUAGUGGAAUUCCUAGUGUAGAGGUGAAAUUCGUAGAUAUUAGGAGGAACACCAGUGGCGAAGGCGACUAUCUGGUUCGAUACUGACGCUAAGGUGCGAAAGCGUGGGGAGCAAACAGGAUUAGAUACCCUGGUAGUCCAC
rnacentral:rRNA from 1 species